AGAAGGCUGUUUACCAAGCCUGCUGGAGCCUCUGAAGGGCAGCAGCCAGCUCACACCCCAUGCCCUGGAUGGCGAGAAGGCACAGGAGACCGCAGAGCAUACAAACAGGGCAAGAGGAAACCAUCUAUCAAUGACCAGGGACCAGAGGAAGCAAAGUUCUAACAUCUCGCUCAUGCUCUCCCAAGGCCCAGAGGUCAAGGGCUGUGCAAACGAAAGGGACAGACUUGUUGACACGGAUCUGAUGAGAAUGUAUUACCACGGGAAUCAAAACCAGCACUCCUCUUCUUGGUGGAUACCAAUGCACUUUGAGAAGAAGCAGGAAUGCAUGUAUUUCUAAACAAUGAACUUUGGAGAAAUUAACAGGCAAAGGAUCAACUACUACUAAUAUAAAAAUGAAAAGAUGAUACCAGGCAAAGUAAAACCUGGGUUGUGGUGACAGUAGCACUCGUGUCUGACGUCUGAUGCAGAGCCUUCCAUGAAGGCAGGUCACAGACUUGCUCUCACCCUCAGCCCCUCUGCAUAUAAUUCUCAGUUUCUCCAGAAAGCAUUUUCCCUGUGCUUCAGAGGGACUAUUUAUCUAACAAAGACAUUUGCCAUUUUCCAUUCCUUCUUUAGCCUCCCUAGGAGAUGCCCGGUGGCUGACACCCAGAGGAAGCACUGCCUCCCCUCUGAAGCUUCCUCUACUGCAGUCUCUGUGCUCAUCGCAAGGAUCUCUCCAUAUUGACUUAUAUUUGUUUCUGGUCUUAUAUUUUUCUCUAUGGACAGACUUCUAUUUUCAGAAGAUAGAUAUUUAAGUCACAAUAUUCUGGACUCUGGCUUAGUUAGACCAACUGUCUCUUGAUCGUCUGUGGAAACUGAAUCAGGAACACCCCAGAGAGCUGGCUCUGGAUGUAAUUCACAGCUUCAUUUAAUUAUUAUCAUCAAAGUUAAUGAAGGCCAUAAACUGUUUCAUAACAUACCAAUGGGAAGUGUGAUUGGAGGGAAAGCUGGACACCUCACCAUAAAACUGGCACAGCAGAAAAGGCUCGACUAAACAAAACCUUCUUAUGAAGAAAAAGACAAUGAAACCAUGUUCAGUUUAGUGAACCUUUCACACUUGGCAACAUGAAUGUUAAGUCAAAAGAACAAUGGAGCUAUGAGUUUUUUUUAUCAAAUUUUUAUUUUGGGUCAAAUAAGCAAUUUUGUUUGUUUGUUAUUAAGUGUAAAGAGAGCUUUCGGUUAGCUAUUU
rnacentral:lncRNA from 1 species